CUAAUCCGGCUGUGUGCGUGAAGGCGACCGAUAUGUUUUGAGCCAACACCAAAACAUAGGGAACCUGAUCCUCAGUUAAUGGCCGUCCUGCCCCUCGUUGAAAGGGGACUGCGAAAAUUAACGGGAGGUACCCACCUGCUUAUCAGCAGGUUCAAAACGUCGGUGUUGCACGGCAUGGCGGGGCUUGA
rnacentral:other from 2 species